rnacentral:rRNA from 1 species
CACUGACAUUAGAUACCCCGGUAGUCCAGGGUGUAAACGCUGCAGACUUGGUGUUGGGAACCCUUCGGGAGUGCUCAGUGCCGGAGAGAAGUUGUUAAGUCUGCUACUUGGGGAGUACGUCCGCAAGGAUGAAACUUAAAGGAAUUGGCGGGGGAGCACCGCAACGGGAGGAGCGUGCGGUUUAAUUGGAUUCAACGCCGAAAAACUCACCAGCAGCGACUGUUACAUGAAAGUCAGGUUGAUGACCUUACUAGAUUUUCAG